GGGUCCUUAGCUCAGUGGGAGAGCGCUUCCUUGACGCGGAAGAGGCCGUGCGUUCGAUCCGCACAGGACCCACCA
rnacentral:tRNA from 2 species